rnacentral:rRNA from 1 species
UACGUAGGCAGCAAGCGUUGUUCGGAGUUACUGGGCGUAAAGGGUGUGUAGGCGGUUGUUUAAGUUUGGUGUGAAAUCUCCCGGCUCAACUGGGAGGGUGCGCCGAAUACUGAAUGACUAGAGUGCGGGAGAGGAAAGUGGAAUUCCUGGUGUAGCGGUGAAAUGCGUAGAUAUCGGGAGGAACACCAGUAGCGAAGGCGGCACUCUGGGCCGGUACUGACGCUGAGGAGCGAAAGCGUGGGGAGCGAACAGG